rnacentral:lncRNA from 1 species
GUAACUAACAUGAAUUGCUUCAUUUCAGGAAGCGAUGCCGCCUCGUGGACGACCUAAGUUGCCUCGUGGUCGACCGCGGACGAGGUCUAUGGCCGAGGAGCCAAGUGCGGCUCCCGUGCAACCCGGAGCAGGUGGCGACGGGGAGCUUCGGGAGCAGAUGGCCGCGCUUAUUGGCGUAGUGCGGCAGCAGGCGGAGUCUGUUCAGCGCCAAGGGGAGCAGAUCGAGAGGCUCCAGGAG